rnacentral:rRNA from 1 species
UGAACGCUGGCGGCGUGCUUAACACAUGCAAGUCGAGCGAGAAAUUUGUUAUUGAACCUUCGGGUGAUUUAAUAAAUGGAAAGCGGCGGACGGGUGAGUAACGCGUGGGUAACCUACCCUGUGCAGGGGGACAACAGUUAGAAAUGACUGCUAAUACCGCAUAAGACUACAGCAUCUCAUGAUGCAGUAGUAAAAACUCCGGUGGCGCAGGAUGGACCCGCGUCUGAUUAGCUAGUUGGUGAGGUAAGGGCUCACCAAGGCGACGAUCAGUAGCCGGCCUGAGAGGGCGGACGGCCACAUUGGGACUGAGACACGGCCCAAACUCCUACGGGAGGCAGCAGUGGGGAAUAUUGCACAAUGGGGGAAACCCUGAUGCAGCCGACGCCGCGUGAAGGAAGAAGGUUUUCGGAUCGUAAACUUCUAUCAGCAGGGAAGAAAAUGACGGUACCUGACUAAGAAGCCCCGGCUAACUACGUGCCAGCAGCCGCGGUAAU